AUACUCAGGUUUCUCUUCAGACCGCACAGAUCUUUCGCCUUUUACUAAACAUUUCCGUGGAGAGGAAUAAUUUGAGUUUCAACCAAUUUUUUGAUGCUCUGCCGUAAGAUGGGGU
ensembl:snRNA U5 U5 spliceosomal RNA